AUUGAACGCUGGCGGCAGGCUUAACACAUGCAAGUCGAGCGGGGUGAUGGUGCUUGCACUAUCACUUAGCGGCGGACGGGUGAGUAAUGCAUAGGAAUCUGCCUAUUAGUGGGGGCCAACAUCUCGAAAGGGAUGCUAAUACCGCAUACGUCCUACGGGAGAAAGAAGGGGAUGACUGGUGACCAUGCGCUCAGAGAUGAGCCUCAGUCGGAUUAGCUAGUUGGUGGGGUAAAGGCCUACCAAGGCGACGAUCUGUAGCGGGUCUGAGAGGAUGAUCCGCCACACUGGGACUGAGACACGGCCCAGACUCCUACGGGAGGCAGCAGUGGGGAAUAUUGGACAAUGGGGGGAACCCUGAUCCAGCCAUGCCGCGUGUGUGAAGAAGGCCUUAUGGUUGUAAAGCACUUUAAGCGAGGAGGAGGCUCUUUUGGUUAAUACCCAAGAUGAGUGGACGUUACUCGCAGAAUAAGCACCGGCUAACUCUGUGCCAGCAGCCGCAGUAA
rnacentral:rRNA from 1 species